UACGUAGGGGGCAAGCGUUAUCCGGAAUUAUUGGGCGUAAAGGAUGCGUAGAUGGCAGGAUAAGUUAUUGGUCGAUAUCAAACUCAAUUUGGUGGAAGCUGGUAAUACUGUUCUGCUAGAGGACAGGAGAGGUUGAUGGAACUCUAUGUGUAGGGGUGAAAUCCGUUGAUCUAUAGAGGAACACCAAAUGGCGAAGGCAAUCAACUAUUCUGUUCCUGACAUUGAGGCAUGAAAGCGUGGGUAGCAAACCGG
rnacentral:rRNA from 1 species